rnacentral:rRNA from 1 species
AAUAGAUACCCGGGUAGUCCACGCCGUAAACGAUGAGUGCUAAGUGUUAGGGGGGUUUCCACCCCUUAGUGCUGCAGCUAACGCAUUAAGCACUCCGCCUGGGGAGUACGGUCGCAAGACUGAAACUCAAAGGAAUUGACGGGGGCCCGCACAAGCGGUGGAGCAUGUGGUUUAAUUCGAAGCAACGCGAAGAACCUUACCAGGUCUUGACAUCCCGCUGACCGCUAUGGAGACAUAGCCUUCCCUUCGGGGACAGCGGUGACAGGUGGUGCAUGGUUGUCGUCAGCUCGUGUCGUGAGAUGUUGGGUUAAGUCCCGCAACGAGCGCAACCCUUGUCCUUAGUUGCCAUCAUUCAGUUGGGCACUCUAAGGAGACUGCCGUACAAAUACGGAGGAAGGUGGGGAUGACGUCAAAUCAUCAUGCCCCUUAUGACCUGGGCUACACACGUGCUACAAUGGACGGUACAAACGGUCGCGAAGUCGCGAGACGGAGCCAAUCCGAAAAAACCGUUCUCAGUUCGGAUUGCAGGCUGCAACUCCG